UUAGUUCUCCUGUAGAUGGCCAGCCGGUUUAGUUCUCCUGUAGAUGGCCAGCAGGUUUAGUUCUCCUGUAGAUGGCCAGCAGGUUUAGUUCUCCUCUAGAUGGCCAGCCGGUUUAGUUCUCCUGUAGAUGGCCAGCAGGUUUAGUUCUCCUGUAGAUGGCCAGCUUCAUGUCAACAACACGUGUUUUAUUUAGCCUGCUGCUUACAUUCUAGGUUUUAUAGUCAUUAACCUCAGUGUGUGUUUUUCAGUGAUGGCCUGUUAUCUGGACUGAAAAAUAGUUGCUUACUUCCUCCUGUACAGUUAAUAACCCUCUGUGUUGUGGCCCUCCCAGGUCAUCCAAGGCCCCACACUGGAUUGACUUGACAUAAUCCUCUUGGCCCCCUUGGGAGCAUAGGGCAUCUACCAUGGCUCUCCACCUCCCUCACUAUGCUAGGGCAUCCAUCACGGCUCGCCACCUCUCUCACUAUGAUGGAGCAUCCAUCACGGCUCUCCACCUCCCUCACUAUGCUAGGGCAUCCAUCACGGCUCGUCACCUCUCUCACUAUGAUGGAGCAUCCAUCACGGCUCUCCACCUCCCUCACUAUGCUAGGGCAUCCAUCACGGCUCUCCACCUCCCUCACUAUGCUAGGGCAUCCAUCACGGCUCUCCACCUCCCUCACUAUGCUAGGGCAUCCAUCACGGCUCUCCACCUCCCUCACUAUGCUAGGGCUUUGCUGCUUAGCAGGAGAUCCCCCACUAGUUUAUUGGAGAUGCAUUCUCUAUGAACUUACAUUCCAGUCAGAGUAUGGUAACUCUAUUGGAGGGUAGCUGGCGGCUGCCAUGAAUGGAAAGGUAGACUAGUGGACUAGGCAUGUGUGAAGGAGAGAUAAGGAAGGGAAGAGAGUAGAGAGGGAUGGGUUCCAAGGAUCAGUGUUGUCCUGGCCUAACUGGCCUCUACUCAACAUGUCCAUACUACAGAGACUACAGUCUCACCAUUGGCUGUAGCAUUAGUCCACAGAGCAGGUCUCUGUCUGACUACAUAGACGGGGUCGUGUGAUCUCUGGAAGGCAGAGGACAUUCUGGGAGCACUUGUCUCUAACAGUGUUAAGCCGAUGCCAUGGUUACCCAUAUCAUUCACUCUACGGUAAUGGAGCAGUAGACUGAUGAAUACUUGGUCACGUGCCCACAGAGAGAUGAAGAGAUCUGUUUGUUCUUUCUCUCCUCUCCCUCUGUUCUCUCUCUUUCUCUCCUCUCCCUCUGGACAGCUCUACCCUCUCACUCCGUUCAGCUCAGAAUGGUCCAAGGGAAAGACACACAGCUUCAGGCAUCAUUACCUUUUCUGUCUGACUGUGUGUGUGUGUACGAUGUGCAUGUGUGUUUUGGAACAUGACCAAGCUUCUGUUUUUCCCCUCUCUGUUUUCCCAACUGCAUAGAGACACAAUGACAGAGUUCUCUGACCACUUAUAACAUAACCAUCCACAAGGUCUUGCACUGCAGCUCAUAGCAUAGCUGAACAGUACAGACAACCAACAGUUAAUUUCACUUUGUUAGACUUGUGCUUAGGGUUAUUUUUGUUUCCUCUAAAUUGACUGGCUUAUAGGAUGUAAGAGUGGCUUCGUGGUCACCAAGCUACUGUUAAUGCUCUGUUGAUACCAGGCUACAUUAUGGAUCACCACUAUGGAUCCCUGUCUUGUUUCAAUGUGUUUAUAUUAUCAGAGCUGGCUGUGUCAGGGUGGUGUAGUGCCCUAUUAGGAAGACCUUCAGGUGAACCUGGCUUAGCUUAAGUCUGGGUCUUACCUGGGUCAGGUCAUCCCAGUCUGACUAGGCACAUUUCUGAGGGAUCUACUACUAUUGUAUAAUGUAUGACUGUCAAACUAGGGAUUGUAUAAUGUAUGACUGUCACUUCACAGUAUUUUGUCCAGUGUUUUCACUUCUAUUCCUGAAUGAGUUAGCGAUCCAUGACUGACCUCUACUUCUGGGACAGUGUCCACAAAGCACCUUGGGGUAGGAGUGCUGAUCUGCGAUCAGAAACCCACCUUUCCAUAUGAUCUUAUCAAUUAUGGUCUGAAAGGCCAAACUGAUCUGAGGUCAGCCCUAGACUCUGAGACGCUCUAUGUAUACAUGCCCAGAUCUGUGUUAUUCUAGGGUCUGGAUCAUAUCAUUGUUUCUCUGAACCAUAAGGAGAGCAGCUCUGCUAGCAUAUCCUCUUAAUGGGUCAUCUCUGACUGAAGCCUCCUCAAACAUGGUGAAAACUGUCUUACCCUAUUAGAUAGGAUGCUGUGGACAAGUUAUUACAUCUUAGUUGGAUAAGUAAUGCUGUCUCCCAAUAGGGCCGAAAACUGUUAAAGGGAUGUGCUCUGCUAGUGUUUUACUUCAGAAAGACAUAGACAUUCAUCCAUCCAUAGCAUACUGGUUGGGCAGGCAGGGUACUUAGACUCUGUCAAGGCACCUAAUCAUUGCCCCUUAGAAACUAUUGCCUUGUCUGAAAUCUACCUUCAGACACUUCUUGUCAAUCUCCCUAGGUACUGCUGGUACUCCGGUAGGUUGCAAAGGAUUGCAUGGAUUUAGCUAAAAGCGUUGUGAUAAGAACUCCACCUAGCUUCCUUGUAGGGUACAUUGAGUUUCCACCAUGUGCUUCUCUCAAAUCUAGUGUGUCUUUGGUUGGAACCUAAGGGGUUGAUUGUGGAUUGGGUGUGUGCUAAGGGGUUGUUGUUUUUUUACGUGACAUGCCCUUGCUUUCGACAGGGUUUAUUUGGAGUGCUCUGUAGUUGAAUGCAUGAGACUACUGCAUUUGUGUGUUGCCCGUUGUCUGAAUUGUGACACUGAUUUGAACCAGUAGGGGGGGACAUAACCCACACAACCGUUUUAAAACUACUGAAGUGACUGCAAGUUGUACUUCCAUGUACACACUGUAUGUACAUAGUCAUUCUCUGGCUGUAUGAGUUUGCUUGCCUUAUCACUCUGUUCUAGAAUACAGGUUUGUUUUUCCCGCUUUUUAAAACUAGAUUUAUUUUUUUCUUUAUUUGGAAUUUAAUCUGAAAUCUUAUUAGACAUCAUAUUGCAUUUCCUUAAGAGGCACCUCAGCCCCUCUGUAAGGCCAUAUGCUGUGAAGAGUGCUACUUGUGUUUUUAAUCUCUUCUGAAUUUCUCUCUUCUAUCUCAACGAGAUGCAUUUUAAUUGGUCAGAGAUAGCCAAAUAACAAUAACAUUUCCUUGUCCCAGUCCUGCAGGACAUUGCUCAGUAGAGAAGGGGAAUUCCUCUGACAUUGUGUGUUUGGUAACGACCUAACUGAAGUCAUGUUGUCCCGACCCGUCUGUUCUUCCCUUACUAUCAGGCUGGUUACCGUAUCCACGGCAACAUGGCAAUUCCUUUUUUUCUAUUCUGCUUUGCUACAGUUUGCACAGAAGAAAAGAUGGCACACACUGUAAACACAUUCUUGCUGUCAUGGCAACACUACGUGACAUUUUAACCAGUGUUCAUUUUAUUUUGUAAUAUUUGUUUAUUUAUUGCUGUGUGUUUGGUAUCAGUGUUAUUGUGUUCAGGAACUCUCAUUGUGAGAGAAUAUUCUACAUUAAUAUAUUUUGUGCCAAUUAUCAAUACUCCACUGUUAUAAAGGACAUGAUGUUUCUGUGCUAAGAUAAUGGUGUUUAACAUGGACUGAAUGACAGUCAUAUACCAAUAACAACACUACUAAUAAAGAAAAUAAAUAUUUUAUUAUGUGUUUUCAA